rnacentral:rRNA from 1 species
UAGGGAAUAUUGGUAAUCUGGGAAACCGGGAACCAGCAACGCCGCGUGCGCGAUGAAGGCCUUCGGGUUGUAAAGCGCUUUUUGAGAGGAUGAGGAAGGACAGUACUCUUAGAAUAAGCCUCGGCUAACUACGUGCCAGCAGCCGCGGUAAAACGUAGGAGGCAAGCGUUAUCCGGAUUUACUGGGCGUAAAGCGUGUGUAGGCGGUUUGAUAAGUUGGAUGUGAAAGCUCCUGGCUUAACUGGGAGAGGUCGUUCAAAACUAUCAGACUUGAGAGUGGUAGAGGGAGGUGGAAUUCCGCAUGUAGUGGUGAAAUGCGUAGAUAUGCGGAGGAACACCAGUGGCUAAAGCGGCCUCCGGGCCCAUUUCUGACGCUCAGACGCGAAAGCUAGGGUAGCAAGCG